UACAGAGGGUGCAAGCGUUGUUCGGAAUUAUUGGGCGUAAAGGGCGCGUAGGCGGUGCGGUAAGUCUGUAGUGAAAUCUCUGGGCUCAACUCAGAGUCUGCUGCAGAAACUGCCGUGCUUGAGUGUGGGAGAGGUGAGUGGAAUUCCUGGUGUAGCGGUGAAAUGCGUAGAUAUCAGGAGGAACACCUGUGGUGUAGACGCUUUCUGGACCAUAGCUGACGCUGAGACACGAAAGCGUGGGUAGCAAACAGG
rnacentral:rRNA from 1 species